rnacentral:lncRNA from 1 species
GGCCGAUAGAAUAUUAGAAUUGGCAUCAACUUGUCCAGUUAUGACCUAAAAUAUCUACAUCCACCUUGACAAGUGCCAAAAUCACUCCACAUCUUUGCCUACAUUCUUUGUUCACCAUUCAAGGUGACAAAUACCAAAAACUAACGAGGUCCUUUUUACCUUUUCUGACUGUUUUGAUCUGUUGGGUUCAUGUUCUCUUUGCA